rnacentral:tRNA from 1 species
AAAACUAUAGUUUAAUAAAAAAUUUUUAAUUUGCACUUAAAAGACGCGGCACUAUGCUAGUUUUA